AGCCCUUCCACGUCACUGAAAUCCGAGCUGGAGGGGAGAGACGAAAGGAGAGAGAACAGAGCGGGCGCUCCGUGUAUCGCCCGGCUACAGCUCCAGAUACGAGAAACAACCGCUCGCUUGCAGCCCGAUGCUGGCGCUAGCGCCGGCGCUGCUGAUCCGGUGCGUCUCCCUCGCCUCCCGCGCGCCAAUUCCUUUCUCCCUCGUCCCAAAUCGCUCCUUGCGCGCCUAAUCGAAGAAGGCGCUAAAUCCCCUUCAGAACCAUACGACCGAUGCUCCAAAUCUCCCCCAGAUCCCACCUCCCGAACCAUUGAUUUGCCGCCGCCGGAUCCUCUGGAGGUCCCUCCGCCGGCGCCUUAUCUCGUCCGGCCGGCAGGGCCUCAGCUCAUCCUGCCCGCCGGUGCCCCAGUUCGUCCCGUCGUCGACCUUCCCUUCCACACAGGGUCUUGGAUCUUCACUAGUACUAGCGUAGUCCAUGGCCGCCUCCUCUUCUACACCAUGGUAGCCCGCCAGGCUGCAGCAACCAAGUGCAGCAGGUGCUCGGGCUCAAGGCCCUUGGUGGAUCUGCGUCUCCUUGGUUCAGGCAUGGAAAUUUGGCUGACUCGAUGUGGAAGUAUGGACUGAGCAACGAGUGGUGAUUGCUGCAGGUGGUGUUUGCAGUCUUGAAGUAUAUUGAUGCAAAUGGACGGUCGCUCCUUUCUACAAAGUUUCAACUAUGCUUUGUGACUUUCUGUGUGUGCUCUAGAUCAAAACUAAUGGCUUGUUCGCCUAAGAUCAUAUUUGGUACUAUGUUUGGUUGAUGACUUCUGAUAGACUCAUGUAAUGUUUAAGUGUCGAUGUGAUGGUGCUAUGUUCCACCAGUUUGUUGCUUAUCGUUUGUCUAGAUCGAAAUUAACGGCUCGUUUGCCGAAGAUCUUAUUUGUUAUGUAAUGUUUAAAUGUGGUCUGAAUAUUAAUCAAUUUGUCUCGUCA